CCCUAAUUAGGGUCUCCACACCAUGAUUACAGUUCUUACUUGCAUAUUUUUUCUCAUCAAAGAACUGUGUAUGGAUUCUAAAUGCGUACAGAACACUGCUUACUCAAAGCAAUUCCCCAUAGAUAAGUAGUUCACCUAGUCCAGGUCCAGAGAGUCCUUCGGGCUUCUCGCCCCUAUGUCUUUGCCCGCUCUCCACCUGCAGCACCACCGGCUCUCCUUCCAUCAAGAUCAUCAUUGACGGAGUCAAUAUCAGCUCCAUCUUCGACUUCUGCAAGACUCCCGCAGGCGACCAAGGUGCCUACCCCUGAUGCAUCCGUGAGUGCAGCCUUCGAGACUACGUCGCUUACUGCAGUGUCGCCUAUAGUCACAUUACAGAUUUUGUAAAAUCAGACAUCGACACGCUCGUUAAUCACACUGCACUCACGCCCAUUUCUCAACCGACUCCAACAACAGAGGGUUCAACGGCAACGGGUUUAGGGUUUAGGGUUUAGGGUUUAGGGUUACAUGGGUGUCCUAGAGGUUUUUCAUCCUCAAUAUCUCUUAAUAUAUCACAGCUUUUUCUGUUUUAAGAUUUUGCCAAGGCUUAGAAUCACCCAAAGACCUCUACAAACGUUUUUGUUUUUCAAAAAAAUGUGUUUCGUUUUCUGUAAUUUAGGGUUUGGAAACCCUAAUUAGGGUCUCCACACCCUGAUUACAGUUCUCACUUGCAUAUUUUUUCUUAUCAAAGAACUGUGUAUGGAGUCUAAAU
rnacentral:lncRNA from 1 species